UACGUAGGAGACGAGCGUUGCUCGGAAUUACUGGGCGUAAAGGGCGCGUAGGCGGGUGUUUAAGUCAGCGGUUAAAUCCCAGGGCUCAACCCUGGAACUGCCUUUGAUACUGGGCACCUAGAGUUCGGGAGAGGUGUGUGGAACUCCGAGUGUAGAGGUGAAAUUCGUAGAUAUUCGGAAGAACACCAGUGGCGAAGGCGACACACUGGCCCGAUACUGACGCUGAGGCGCGAAAGCGUGGGGAGCAAACAGG
rnacentral:rRNA from 1 species